rnacentral:rRNA from 1 species
CCAAUAGCGUAUAUUAAAGUUGUUGCAGUUAAAAAGCUCGUAGUUGAAUUUCGGGGUUAGUAAGUUGGUCGUGCCUAUGGUAUGCACUGGCUUUACUGAUUCCUCCUUCUUGAAGAACUGUAAUGUCAUUAAUUUGGUGUUGCAGGGAAACAGGACUGUUACUUUGAAAAAAUUAGAGUGUUUAAAGCAGGCUAACGCUUGAAUACAUUAGCAUGGAAUAAUGAAAUAGGACGUUUGAUCCUAUUUUGUUGGUUUCUAGGAUUGACGUAAUGAUUAAUAGGGAUAGUUGGGGGCAUUAGUAUUCAAUUGUCAGAGGUGAAAUUCUUGGAUUUAUUGAAGACUAACUACUGCGAAAGCAUUUGCCAAGGAUGUUUUCAUUAAUCAAGAACGAAAGUUAGGGGAUCGAAGACGAUCAGAUACCGUCGUAGUCUUAACCAUAAACUAUGCCGACUAGGGAUCGGAUGAUGUUAAUUUUUUAAUGACUCAUUCGGCGCCUUACG